UUUUGUUGUGAGGUAAGAUUAGGCAAAAGGUAAAGUAGGUCUAAAAUUUUAGAAGGGUAUAAAGAAAAACUUAUUAAUGGUAAUUAAAAGGAAGUAAUAAGAAUUAGAAUAACAUUUUUAGACUAUUUUCUUUUUAUAACUUUUUAAUUGAUAAUUUAAGGAGAUAAAACUUAACAUUUUGGUUAGUUUACUACUUAUAAAAUUGGGGGUUUUUAGUUUUCUUAGGGAGAGAAGGUUUUGUUUGUUAAUGUUAUGGAGAAUUUUUUAUAAGAAAAUAGCUUUUUGUGAUUUUUAAUUUUUCUGUGAAUAGUAGUUGUUUGGGGAAAUUUGUAAUUGUCAAAAAUUUGUGUAAUUUUUAAUUGUGUUUAUUAAUUAAUUUAUGGGGUAUUGUUAUAAAGAUGAGUUGUUGUUUCUAUGAAACAGAAAAAGUCCAACAUUGGAAAUGGGAGCAGAUAGAAAAACCAGCUGAGUUUCUUCAGCUGUUUUAAGUAUGAAAAUAAGCAUUUGAAAUUCUGUGAUAUUGCAUUUUUUCUUUUGCUUCCUCUCAGGUGGCCGAGUGCAUCACCUGUUUCCACCUGCAGCUAACCCACGAGACCUGCAAGAAUUCACUGUCCUGGUGCAAUAAAGGCACUUCUGGUCCUGCUGUGUCUCAGGAGGCUGCAGAGGAGGCAGAGGGCUCUGGGCUGCGUCCAGGGGGUGGCUGUGGACAUCACUGGGUGUGCACUUCACAAAGAUGUGGGAUAGGAGAAGUGCUUACAUUUGAAUUUCUACUUAAAGGGGAGGAAGAGAGAGAUGAUGGAAACUGAAGACUGCAGCACAUCUUAUCCUUCCUUCUGCUUUGCUUUUACCCAUUUUCUCCUGUGGUCCAAGAGAGUUCGAGGUGGGAGUGAGGGACACAGCCUGUGACACAGGUUCAGCAGGGCACAGGUGGAGAGCUGGGAGAAUGAAACGUGUGGGAGCAAAUCCUCUGGGAAUGGUGCUCAGGAGACAGAAAACAGGCUCCAAACACUUCUGACUGCUGGAGGGGCCAAGCAAGCUAAGGAAAAGAGGUAAAUCUUUCCUCAGACCCUUUCUAAUGCUCCCAUGAAAGGAGGCACAAAGAGAGAAGUACGUGCCACAGCCUCCCUAUUGAAUUUCAGUUAGCCUGUGCAGGUGCAGUGCACAGAGAGUGCCCCUGAGAAAACUGUUCCUGAGCAAAGUGGAUGCACUUUGAAAGCCUGAGACCCAGUCAGUCCCUCCCUGCAGUUUGUGCCACACAAACCCUUCUUCUGGCCAUCGUGACUGUGGGCCUCCACCCUGCCAGCAAAGCCAUGGGACUGGCACAGCAAUGAGCCCUGACACUCAGAAACCAAACCCUCCUUCCAGCAGCCCUUGUUGUGCCCUCCCCAGGUGUGCCAGGAUGUGAUGGGAGGGACAGCAAGAGCUGGACUUUGGGCUGGCUUUGUCUGUCCAAAUUAACUGAAAUAAUGCUUAGCCCUCAGCCCAUGUUGGUGAGCUGUAGGUAUGGUCUGCCUGCAAAGCAGGCACCUCUUUCCAGUCACGCAGCACGGGUACACUAGCCACUUACAAAUACCUGUACCACUAAAGACUGUGAGAAUUGUGUUUUUGAGCUGUCUUCAUUCCAAAGAGGUUGGCUUAUAAGAAGAAGCACAUGUGGGUUAAGAAAAAAAGCAAAGGUAUGAUUAUAGCAAACAUCAUUCACCCCACACAUUACUUUUAGAGCCAAAGCUCUUUGCAAUCCUCUCUUAUUCAAAUCUCACCUCCAGACAUGUCUCAUACAUUUUUUCUCCUAGUUGUCUAUCUGACACUGUUUAACAUCUUUUCUUGGCUCAGCUUGGAGCACCAUGAUGAAAGUUGCCUG